GGGGGGGGCGCGGAGGGGGUGGUUAAAUCUGUGAACACGGGAUAAAUUAGUAGGGGAAGAAGUGACCAGAAAAAAAGGGAGAAGGGAGACGUAAAAUAAUGUGGAGAAAAGUAGUAUUAAAGGAUUUACAAGUUUCGAGGAUUGAUGCAAACUUGGUGGCUAAUAGAGCUGAAUGGCGAAAAAGGAUCUAUAUUGCCGACCCCAACUAGCUUGGGAUUAAAACUGUUGUUGUUGGGUUAAAUCUGCCAAUAACCAAACCAAAUCAAUAAAUAGAAGAGCACAAAUCUUUUAUGUGGUUUUAUUCCAAUAGAGUAGGUUAUUCCUUAUGUGUAACAUCAGAACCACCUUUAGC
rnacentral:misc_RNA from 1 species